GGAUCAUUACAAGAAGCCGAAAGGCUACUUCAAACCAUCGCGAACUCGUCCAAGUUGCUUCGGCGGCGCGGCACCCCUUAACGGGGGCGCCGCAGCCCUGCCUCUCCGGAGGUUCGGGGCGCCCGCCGGAGGUACGAAACUCUGUAUUAUAGUGGCAUCUCUGAGUAUAAAACAAAUAAGUUAAAACUUUCAACAACGGAUCUCUUGGUUCUGGCAUCGAUGAAGAACGCAGCGAAAUGCGAUAAGUAAUGUGAAUUGCAGAAUUCAGUGAAUCAUCGAAUCUUUGAACGCACAUUGCGCCCGGUAGUACUCUACCGGGCAUGCCUGUUCGAGCGUCAUUUCAACCCUCAAGCCCUGCUUGGUGUUGGGGCCCUACGGCUGCCGUAGGCCCUGAAAGGAAGUGGCGGGCUCGCUACAACUCCGAGCGUAGUAAUUCAUUAUCUCGCUAGGGAGGUUGCGGCGUGCUCCUGCCGUUAAAGACCCAUCUUUAACCAAGGUUGACCUCGGAUCAGGUAGGAAUACCCGCUGAACUUAAGCAUAUCAAUAAGCGGAGGAAAAGAAACCAACAGGGAUUGCCCUAGUAACGGCGAGUGAAGCGGCAACAGCUCAAAUUUGAAAUCUGGCUUCGGCCCGAGUUGUAAUUUGUAGAGGAUGCUUUUGGUGAGGUGCCUUCUGAGUUCCCUGGAACGGGACGCCAGAGAGGGUGAGAGCCCCGUAUAGUCGGCCACCGAUCCUUUGUAAAGCUCCUUCGACGAGUCGAGUAGUUUGGGAAUGCUGCUCAAAAUGGGAGGUAUAUCUCUUCUAAAGCUAAAUAUAGGCCAGAGACCGAUAGCGCACAAGUAGAGUGAUCGAAAGAUGAAAAGCACUUUGAAAAGAGGGUUAAAUAGCACGUGAAAUUGUUGAAAGGGAAGCGCUUGUGACCAGACUUGUGCCGGGCUGAUCAUCCAGUGUUCUCACUGGUGCACUCGACCCGGCUCAGGCCAGCGUCGGUUUUCGUGGGGGGAUAAAAGCUUCGGGAACGUGGCACCUUAGGGUGUGUUAUAGCCCGUUGCUUAAUACCUCCGUGGAGACCGAGGU
rnacentral:rRNA from 1 species